AUUGAACGCUGGCGGCAGGCCUAACACAUGCAAGUCGAGCGAGCGGCGGACGGGUGAGUAAUGUCUGGGAAACUGCCUGAUGGAGGGGGAUAACUACUGGAUACGGUAGCUAAUACCGCAUACCAUCAGAUGUGCCCAGAGGGGAUUGGAUAGUAGGUGGGUUAACGGCUCACCUAGGCGACGAUCCCUAGCGGGUCUGAGUGGAUGACCGGCCACACUGGAACUGAGACACGGUCCAGACUCCUACGGGAGGCAGCAGUGGGGAAUAUUGCACAAUGGGCGCAAGCCUGAUGCAGCAAUGCCGCGUGAGUGAAGAAGGCCUUCGGGUUGUAAAGCACUUUCAGCGGGGAGGCGUUACCCGCAGAAGAAGCACCGGCUAACUCCGUGCCAGCCGCCGCGGUAAUUC
rnacentral:rRNA from 1 species